rnacentral:rRNA from 1 species
GACGGAGGAGGCAAGCGUUAUCGGGAAUUAUUGGGCGUAAAGGGUACGUAGGCGGAUGGUCAAGUCGGGGGUCAAAGGCACCAGGUCAACUGUGGGAAGGCCCUGGAAACUGACCGGCUAGAGUGAGGUAGGGGUUGCGGGAAUUCCCGGUGUAGCGGUGAAAUGCGUAGAGAUCGGGAAGAACACCUGAGGCGGAAGCGCGCAACUGGGCCUCAACUGACGCUGAGGUACGAAAGCUAGGGGAGCGAAUGGG